rnacentral:lncRNA from 1 species
AUAGAGUUGAUUCAGUUGAAGAUGCUUGAGAUUCGAUUGUCUAGGCUUAUGCGUUUUCACUCACAAGAAAGUUUAUAACAAUUUUCAAUAUUCGAUAACUUAAGUUUGUGACUAAUUUGAAACAUCUCAUUUUCAUUACUUUCCAUGACGUAAUAGCUUUAUAUGCUUUUAAAUAUUUAGGAGGUUAUAUGUUCUGUGUCUGUUGGAUAAAUUAUUUAAUUGUGCCUAAAUUUUAUUUUCUAGAAUUCAACAACCUAAACGCACUGCCCAAUAAUUUUGGGUCAGCCUCUCUGUUGUUGCCAUUGUGUUCCUUCCGCCAGACAGUACCCUUUUUUGCUAUUUUAUUCAAUCCAUGAGCACAACAGAAUGUAGAGGAAUUUGUGUCAUUUCAAAUUCCCAUUCUUAACGAAGAGAAUGAACGAGAUAAAGAUCUGAUGCGGUCAAAUGCUUCACACUCACGUGUUAAUUUGGAUAUGCCUCUCUUUCCUUUUAAUUUUUUUUUGUUCAGAUUGUGUGGUUCUUGUGAUAAGUUCCACACAAGACAUAUACCAACUACUAAGUUGGCAUUCCUUCAAGUUAUCCUCAAAUGGUGUCCCACGAGUUCCUUCUAAACAUUCUCAUGUUCACUACAUUUAUUUGAUAGGAAUAUUGCUCUCUGAUGGCCUAAUAGUUCGUAUCAUAAUAAAGCAUGGCUAGUUUAAGAUUUUCUAUGUAGAAACUACCUUUCAGUUUAUAGAAUUCUUGUUGUAAUUCACUGUUUCAUCCAAUUCUUUUCAAUCAUGUGCAUUUACUUGUGGACAAUGCGAUCCUCUAUAUUGACUGUACUAUACUUAUUCAUACGAUAACUAAAAGAACAUUUCAUAGAUUUUAUCCUUGUUAUAAUCAAC